UACAGAGGUCCCAAGCGUUGUUCGGAUUCAUUGGGCGUAAAGGGUGUGUAGGUGGCGCCGUAAGUCGGGUGUGAAAUCUCGGGGCUUAACCCCGAAACUGCAUUCGAUACUGCGGUGCUUGAGGACUGGAGAGGAGACUGGAAUUCAUGGUGUAGCAGUGAAAUGCGUAGAGAUCAUGAGGAAGACCAGUGGCGAAGGCGGGUCUCUGGACAGUUCCUGACGCUGAGGCACGAAGGCCAGGGGAGCAAACGGG
rnacentral:rRNA from 1 species